rnacentral:rRNA from 1 species
AUGGACGCAAGUCUGAUGGAGCAACGCCGCGUGAGUGAAGAAGGGUUUCGGCUCGUAAAGCUCUGUUGGUAGUGAAGAAAGAUAGAGGUAGUAACUGGCCUUUAUUUGACGGUAAUUACUUAGAAAGUCACGGCUAACUACGUGCCAGCAGCCGCGGUAAUACGUAGGUGGCAAGCGUUGUCCGGAUUUAUUGGGCGUAAAGCGAGUGCAGGCGGUUCAAUAAGUCUGAUGUGAAAGCCUUCGGCUCAACCGGAGAAUUGCAUCAGAAACUGUUGAACUUGAGUGCAGAAGAGGAGAGUGGAACUCCAUGUGUAGCGGUGGAAUGCGUAGAUAUAUGGAAGAACACCAGUGGCGAAGGCGGCUCUCUGGUCUGCAACUGACGCUGAGGCUCGAAAGCAUGGGUAGCGAACAGGAUUAGAUACCCUGGUAGUCCGUGCCGUAAACGAUGAGUGCUAAGUGUUGGGAGGUUUCCGCCUCUCAGUGCUGCAGCUAACGCAUUAAGCACUCCGCCUGGGGAGUACGACCGCAAGGUUGAAACUCAAAGGAAUUGACGGGGGCCCGCACAAGCGGUGGAGCAUGUGGUUUAAUUCGAAGCAACGCGAAGAACCUUACCA